GUUUUCCCACUUUGUUUUGUAGUUGGAGCGAGUGGCGACGCGAGGACUUCCCUCCCCACACACACAUAAAAGUUGGGGACGCGUCGGUGCUGGCCGUCAGUACCUGUGGCGCUCAGGGUGUGAGAGAGACAGAGAGAGAGAGAGCUGCUUCUCUACCAUUCCUCGUCUCGCUCUUCUUGUACUUCUUCAGUUAAUAAGUGUCUUUUUUCCGAAGUGCGUGAUCAUCUUCUUCAGAUCAUCCGGAAGCUCUCCUUUUUUACAACAAAACUCCACCCAAUCGCACCCGCACCUCCUGGCCCCCAGCCGCAGUGGUGAUGAUGAUGAUGCCCGCCUUCAGGACUCUGCUGGGCUGCUGCCUGCUGCUGCUAUUGGCUGCCCUGUCUUCCGCCAUGCCCCAGAACAGCGAGGGGACCAGAGUCAGGACCGCUCGUCAAGCUGACGACGACGACAAGCCGCCCGUCAGGAUCGCAGGAGGGCGCAACGCCCCCUUUCCUGGAGUGGGCGCCUUGGGCAGCUUCUCCAACUCCCUGACCAUCAGUGACCGCAACAACAGACGUCCGCCAAUAGUCUUCGGCCGCCGGCCACACCGCUUCACCCCCUGGUUCCGCUACUAGCUCCCCCUCGCAUCGCCCAGCGCCUGGUUCUGCUAUGUCCUACUCUCCACAGCAUACAACGUCCUUGUACCUACCUACGGCUCCCUCUCUCUCUCUACCUUGGCGCCGCGUCUGGUCUCCCAACCUGUGAGACAACGAAACUUAAAUUAAUCUAUGGACAAUACAACCAACAUUUCAGACUUCAUGAAAAUACGAGGUUACUUUGAGGUGCUUCCUUACCUUGAGGUGCUUCCGGGGCUUAGCGUCCCCACGGCCCGGUCGUCGACCAGGCCUCCUAAGACUCACAAGAACGGGCCACCACACACACAAGCACCCAAGCACACACGCUCUCUAUUUUAAACAAAAUAUAUAGUUAAGCUUGAUUAAAAGUUCUCCUUAGCACUGUGGUCUGUUGUAUGCAUUCUGAUCUAUCGGUGUAUUAAAAUGCAUUUGGUGCAGCUCAAACAGACCGAUCACAGAUCACUAGACACAAGAUGAGUGAGUUUGACGAGAGGAGGAAAAAAGGCGGGAUAUUUUGACUGCAAGCAAAUUAUAUACAAUUCCAGUAUAGUGGCACUCACAAAUAUUAUAAUGCACACCUAUAUUGAUCUCAACAUAAAUAAUGUUUAUAAACACUAUAUAGAAAUAUUAUAUAAGGUAUACGGGCAAAUAAAAGUGAGAGGAAUA